rnacentral:rRNA from 1 species
UACGGGGGGGGGUAAGCGUUGUUCGGAAUUACUGGGCGUAAAGGGCUCGUAGGCGGCCAACUAAGUCAUACGUGAAAUCCCUCAGCUUAACUGGGGAACUGCGUCUGAUACUGGAUGGCUUGAGUUUGGGAGAGGGAUGCGGAAUUCCAGGUGUAGCGGUGAAAUGCGUAGAUAUCUGGAGGAACACCGGUGGCGAAGGCGGCAUCCUGGACCAACACUGACACUGAUGAGCGAAAGCCAGGGGAGCAAACGGG